rnacentral:lncRNA from 1 species
AACAGGCUUCUUCUCCAUACACAGAAAGAUUUUGAUACCGAACAUAUAUAUAUAUAUAUAUAUAUAUAUAUAUAUGGUAAAAAUAGAGGUACACAGCCCGUGUAAUUUUUAAAAUUACACGGUCUACGAUCGUAGAGUGAUUACGAUCGUACUCUACGAUCGAAUUCACUCUAUAAUUGUAGAGUAGUCCACGAUCGUAGAGUGAAUUCACAAAUUGUGGAGUGACUACUCUACGAUCGUAGAGUGAAAUCACUCUAUAAUCGUAGACCGUAUAAUUUUAAAAAUUACACGGCUGUGUACCUCCGUAUUCGCCUAUAUAUAUAUAUAUAUUUAGAGAGAGAGAGAGAGAGAGGGGA